CACGUACUUUCUCCGUAGGGAAAUACUUGUCAUCAAAAUAGAUAAAAGAUGAUAUAUCUAGAUGUAUUUUAGUUCUAAAUACAUUUUUUUGUCUGUUUUAAUGACAAGUAUUUUCGAACGAAGGGAGUAGCAU
rfam:Triticum urartu cultivar G1812 contig1229561, whole genome shotgun sequence.